AAAGGAAUGGUGCUCUAUAAACCACACAAAAGGUCUGAGGUUCAAAUUCAAUGCGCCCAAAAAAUUGUUCUUUGAUCAUCCUUCAAACAUAUAUGAACUUCUCAUUCCACAAAAAAUUCAUGGUUGGGAAAAUGUUUUAUGAUAUUUAAUGGUUACAAAAAAGUAGCAUUGUGAAAUUGUAAUAAGCAGCACAAAAUCACACUGAGGGUUUACUGCCAUCUAAUGUCAAAAGAACCUUGUACAAAUCUGGACGUCGAUCUCGGAAUACCCCCCAACUAUGUCUCUUGGAUUUGAUUUUGUCCAGAUCAAACUUAGCAAUGAGAACAGCUUCCUCUUUGUCAUCAGCAGCCGCUACAAUUUCCCCAGUUGGUCCGGCUAUGAAUGAGUUCCCAUAAAAUGUGAUCUUGCUAUCUCCAUGCUCUGUCUGGAUUAUUUCCUUUCCAAUCCGGUUCGAAGCUACUAGAGGUACCAGGUUAGCCCCAGCAUGCCCCUGCAUCACUCGCUUCCAGUGAUCACAGGAAUCAAGUCCUUCAUCUUGCGGUUCAGAACCAAUAGCAGUAGGGUAAAACAAUAUUUCUGCACCUUGCAGAGCCAUAGCUCGGGCUGCUUCUGGAAACCACUGAUCCCAGCAUAUUGCGACUCCAAUUUUUGCAAAUUUAGUUUGGAAAACCUUGAAGCCAGUGUCACCGGGAUUAAAGUAGAACUUUUCCUGGUAACCUGAAGUCAAAGGAAAAUUGCUGUAAAGAAACUGCUAUUCUUCAAGUUCUGAAACAUUCACCUUACUACAUUCCUGGUCCAUCUGGAAUAUGAGACUUCCUAUAGAGCCCAAGGUCAGUCCCAUCAGCAUCAAUUAUGGCUAUGGAAUUGUAAUGGGCGUUAUUUGCCUCUUCAAAGAAGCUGACUGGUAUAACCACACCCAAUUCUUUUGCAAGUUUUUGCAUCCUGCACAUUAGACGCAUAAGAAUAGAUAGAGGUGAAGGCUUAAGCUUCUGUACUUUUAAUAGGAUAAUCAGCCUGGAAUUAAUAGUAAAACAAAAAAGAAAGCUUGCAAGAAAAUCCAGAAGCUGGAGAUGGAAGUUGGGUCGUGUGGGUUAGGUUAUAGGCUGCUUUGAGUUUGGCUUAUUCUUGGUCAAACCUUAACCAAUUGCUUUCAGGUCUGUCUCAAGGGUCAUUUAACAAGUCAAUAAUUGGGAAUUUAUUUUGGACAAUUUGGGUUAUUUUCCAUUUUAUUUUGUCAUUUUUUUCAUUUUUUUCCAGCAAUCUUUUGGAUUAUUUUUCAAUUUUCUUAGAAUUAAAUUAUUUCAGGCCAUAUAUGUUACUUGGGUCAAUACUCACUCGACUCUAAAAUUUUCAGACCAAGCCUGAGUCACUUCAGAUUUUAUGUUAAGGUAGCAGAAUCUAAUGAAGCUCUGCUACUUUUACCUGAAAAUUGUAGGAUGGCCCUCGUAAGGCUUAGCUCGCUGAAAGAAAUCCUCUCUUUGUGCUUGACAGAAGUAAUAUCCCUCAAAUAGUUCCUGAACGUGAAAUUCAUAAGGUUGAAAGCUAACACAGAAUAAAAAUUGCAUAUUUCAGAAAUACAUUUGACAGAAAGGUAGUGCCAAAUGCCAAUCACACCCUCACAUUACCUCUAGUUUUAUGAUUAUCAGUAAGACAAUACAAUCACACAAUGGCAUGCUCAAGGAAGGAAAAGGAUGUCCUCCCUUUCCCUCUCCUUUCAGGUUGGAUGGAGCUACUUCAUUGUCAAUUUCAAUUUUCAAAUUGGUUUUCAAAAAUGGAACAUUAAGAGUGUUUUCUGUCAUGUUAUUAAAUGGCAGCAGCAUUUGCAGAAAUCUCUUUAUAUCUAGAGAAGCAAUAUAAAGCUGGGCACUCAAGUCAUCGAGUCAGUAUAUUUUAGCAUAACAUGCAUUUUUACCACUAUCAGUAAGAUUAUAUCAUGUAUCAGUGUACAUCUAAGGGAGCCAAGUGGUCUUGCGCCUCUCCGUUUAUCUUUUCUUUCAUGUACUAGGUAGCGGUGGAGAUCUUUUGCCUCCACCAUGUCUGAGCUACAUGCAGUAGUAAGAGUCUGGAUCGUGUCUCAGUUCCAGAGUAGCUGAUCAUCCUCUUGGGCCAACUACUAUCAUCUCUAUGGUUAGCUAUUUCCUAGCCAAGCCCUACUUUUGCAGAUUCCUUCUUUGCUCCACAGUUUAUAGUGUGACAACACACUUGCAAAUGAAUGGAUAUUCAAACCUCGAUUCCUUCCCCCUAGAAUACAGCAAACGUCCUCAAAUUUGUCAAGUAGGUUCUUUCCAUGUUUUUAUUCACACGACAAGUAAUCAUCUUCCUUCUGGCCCAAUCAAUGCACUGCCACAGAGACUGGUUUUUCUUCCUGUAGUUGCAACCUAUGAAGCACGAAAACGGCACUGAGUCACGUUUCCCAGUGUCCGAAAAUAUUGGAAAUCGAAAACGCAUUUCUUUAAAUAAAAUUAAAAAAAAAGGAAAAUGGGUAGGUUAAAAUCGAUCACUUCACAAUAUUCACCAUCAAGAUCAACAGAAAAGGAAGAAGAAGAAAAAGAAAAAGAAAAGGAAAAGGGGUACCUCGGCAGUCGGCAGACCACUCGGCACGUCGGGUAAGAAUCGCGAAGAAGAAGAAGAAGUUUUUUUUCCUUCCCAUCGUGAAAUGAUUUUUUUUCCUUCCCAUCGUGAAAUGAAUGGGGGCUGGGUAUUGGGUAAUUAGGUUUAUAUUGGGGUGGUUUAUUAAUUUAUUAUUAUUUAAUUUAU
rnacentral:misc_RNA from 1 species